rnacentral:rRNA from 1 species
GACGAACGCUGGCGGCGUGCUUAACACAUGCAAGUCGAACGGAAAGGCCCUGCUUUUGUGGGGUGCUCGAGUGGCGAACGGGUGAGUAACACGUGAGUAACCUGCCCUUGACUUUGUGAUAACUUCAGGAAACUGGGGCUAAUACCCGAUAGGAGCUCCUGCUGCAUGGUGGGGGUUGGUAAGUUUCGGGGGUUGGGGAUGGACUCGCGGCUUAUCAGCUUGUUGGUGGGGUAGUGUCUUACCAAGGGUUUGACGGGUAGCCGGCCUGAGAAGGUGACCGGCGACAUUGGGACUGAGAUACGGCCAAGACUCGAAGGGGAGGCAGCAGUGGGGAAUAUUGCACAAUGGGCGGAAGCAAGAUGCAGAAACGCGGCGAGCGGGAUGACGGCCUUCGGGGUGUAAACAGCUUUCGCCUGUGACGAAGCGUGAGUGACGGUAAUGGGUAAAGAAGCACCGGCUAACUACGUG